AGCGAACGCUGGCGGCGUGCCUAACACAUGCAAGUCGAACGUGAAAAGGGAAACCUGAGUACAGUGGCGUACGGGUGAGUAACGCGUAGGUAAUCUACCCCAGAAUCUGGAAUAACCUGCCGAAAGGCGGGCUAAUACUGGAUAGAGCGAGGGAACUCGUAAGAGAGUUUUUCGGGAAAGGGAGCCCGCAAGGGCCUUCGUUCUGGGAUGAGCCCGCGUCUCAUUAGCUAGUUGGUAAGGUAACGGCUUACCAAGGCGAUGAUGAGUAGCUGGUCUGAGAGGAUGAUCAGCCACACUGGAACUGAAACACGGUCCAGACUCCUACGGGAGGCAGCAGUGGGGAAUCUUGCGCAAUGGACGAAAGUCUGACGCAGCCACGCCGCGUGAGUGAAGAAGGCCUUCGGGUUGUAAAGCUCUGUCGGAUGGGACGAACAUCUUCAUAGUGAAUAGCUAUGAGGACUGACGGUACCAUCAAAGGAAGCACCGGCUAACUCCGUG
rnacentral:rRNA from 1 species